rnacentral:rRNA from 1 species
CCUCUAUUUAUAAGCUAUCGCUUAAAGAUGAGCCUGCGUCCUAUUAGUUAGUUGGUGUGGUAAGAGCGCACCAAGGCGAUGAUAGGUAGGCGGCCUUAACGGGUGGUCGCCCACACUGGGAUUGAGAUACGGCCCAGACUCCUACGGGAGGCAGCAGUCGAGAAUAGUCUACAAUGGACGAAAGUCUGAUAGUGCGACGCCGCGUGGAUGAAGAAGCAUUUCGGUGUGUAAAGUCCUUUUCUGUGCGAGCAAUGCCUCUAAGAUUAAUAGUUUUAGAGGAGCGAUAUUAACACAGGAAUAAGCUCCGGCUAACUCCGUGCCAGCAGCCGCGGUAACACGGGGGGAGCAAGCGUUGUCCGGAAUUACUAGGCGUAAAGGGUAAGUAGGCGGAAUUGUAAGUCAGGUGUUAAAGGCGUCAGCUCAACUGGCGUAUGGCAUUUGAUACUGUAAUUCUAGAGUAAGGUGGGGGAAGACGGAAUUCCUGGUGUAGCGGUGGAAUGCGCAGAUAUCAGGAGGAACACCAGAGGCGAAGGCGGUCUUCUAUACCAUUACUGACGCUCAAUUACGAAGGUGUGGGUAUCAAACAGGAUUAGAUACCCUGGUAGUCCACACAGUAAACGAUAUACACUAGGUGUUGGGGGAGAUGAUCUUUCAGUGCCGCAGCUAACGCGUUAAGUGUAUCGCCUGGGGAGUACGAUCGCAAGGUUAAAACUCAAAGGAAUUGACGGGGCCCCGCACAAGCGGUGGAGCAUGUUGUUUAAUUCGAUGCAACGCGAAGAACCUUACCAGGGCUUGACAUGUAACUGCAUAUGACGGGAAACCGACAUAGCCUUCGAGGGUGUUACACAGGUGCUGCAUGGCUGUCGUCAGCUCGUGCCGUGAGGUGUUGGGUUAAGUCCCGCAACGAGCGCAACCCCUAUGUUUAGUUGCCAGCACGUAAUGGUGGGAACUCUAAACAGACUGCUGGUGAAAGCCAGAGGAAGGUGGGGAUGACGUCAAGUCAGUAUGGUCCUUAUGCCCUGGGCUGCACACGUGCUACAAUGGCUGGUACAGAAGGAAGCAAUACCGCGAGGUGGAGCAAAUCCCCAAAACCAGCCCCAGUUCGGAUUGGAGUCUGAAAUUCGACUCCAUGAAGUUGGAAUCGCUAGUAAAGGCGUAUCAGCUACGACGCCUUGAAUACGUUCCCGGGCCUUGUACACACCG